UGACAGAAUGAGGACAGGAAAACUGAUGCAUGCGGCUUUUGCAUACAGAAUGGUUGCACAUGCAAAGUGUGGUGUUAAUUAUGCACCAUGCCUGCACCAAUCCAUGCAUGCCAGCUUGUGCCAGAGGGAUGACACGUGCUCCUGAAACCUGGGAUUGAAGCCAAAGAUGCUAGAGCAGUUCAGGAGUCGGUGGGCACUCCAAAGCCUAAUGCAGCACCUCUUCAGCUAUGUCCUCUGCUAUCACGCUAUCCAUGAUGCGCAUAAAAAUGAAAGAUCCGGAGGCUUUCCUGGAGCUGCUCCAGCAUGCGUGGAUAAGUGGGAAUAAUUGGUGGAAAGACUCCCGUCACCGGUUGUUGAGCAGGACAAAGAUUAAAUCCUUAAUUAAAACAUUCACAUCUUUAAUUGUGUUUAUCAUAAUGACUAAGUCAUCUGCAUAUGCUAAGAGACAUAUUGGAACAUUAUCAUGUGGAAAAUCAAAACUAAAAAAGAUGACAUCUCAGUUUACAUAAAAGAGGUUCAAGGGGCACAUAAACCACUGUUAACCUUCAGUACAGUCUGAAUUUCACUGUACAACAUAUUGAUUAUGGCUAUAAAACUGAACAUGAAGGUUUCCCGCACCUUACACAAAUAU